CACGUAGGGGGCAAGCGUUAAUCGGAAUUACUGGGCGUAAAGCGUGCGCAGGCGGCGCGUUAAGACAGGUGUGAAAGCCCCGAGCUUAACUUGGGAAUUGCGCUUGUGACUGGCGUGCUGGAGUGUGGCAGAGGGAGGUGGAAUUCCACGUGUAGCAGUGAAAUGCGUAGAGAUGUGGAGGAACACCGAUGGCGAAGGCAGCCUCCUGGGCCAGCACUGACGCUCAUGCACGAAAGCGUGGGGAGCAAACAGG
rnacentral:rRNA from 1 species